rnacentral:rRNA from 1 species
UACGUAGGGACCGAGCGUUGUCCGGAUUCAUUGGGCGUAAAGAGCUCGUAGGCGGCUCGUCGCGUCGACCGUGAAAACCCGCGGCUUAACUGCGGGCUUGCGGUUGAUACGGGCGGGCUAGAGUUCGGUAGGGGAGACUGGAAUUCCUGGUGUAGCGGUGAAAUGCGCAGAUAUCAGGAGGAACACCGGUGGCGAAGGCGGGUCUCUGGGCCGAUACUGACGCUGAGGAGCGAAAGCGUGGGGAGCGAACAGG